rnacentral:rRNA from 1 species
GACAGAGGGUGCAAACGUUGUUCGGAAUUACUGGGCGUAAAGCGCGUGUAGGCGGCAGGGUAUGUCGGAUGUGAAAUCCCGUGGCUCAACCACGGAAGUGCACCCGAAACUACCCAGCUUGAGUCUCGGAGAGGAAGGCGGAAUGCUUGGUGUAGAGGUGAAAUUCGUAGAUAUCAAGCGGAACACCGGUGGCGAAGGCGGCCUCUGGACGAUGACUGACGCUGAGACGCGA